rnacentral:rRNA from 1 species
CAGUCGCCGCGGGAACACGUAGGGUGCGAGCGUUAAUCGGAAUUACUGGGCGUAAAGCGUGCGCAGGCGGCUUUGCAAGACAGAUGUGAAAUCCCCGGGCUCAACCUGGGAACUGCAUUUGUGACUGCAUGGCUAGAGUACGGUAGAGGGGGAUGGAAUUCCGCGUGUAGCAGUGAAAUGCGUAGAUAUGCGGAGGAACACCGAUGGCGAAGGCAAUCCCUUGGACCUGUACUGACGCUCAUGCACGAAAGCGUGGGGAGCAAACAGGAUUAGAGACCCCAGUAGUCCCUGUCUCUUAUAC